CGACCAGAGAAAUCAAGAGACCUUCUUCUUUGAUUUAUAAAGAGAUACCUCCGCCCCUUAUUGAUGUCUAGAGCCGUCGAGCAUUGGAGGGAAAGUUAAAUCUUGAAACUGAAAACAGACAUAGCUGACGGGCCAACUAGAAACGGGGGUAAAAUAUAUGCGCGCGCAUCUACAUCUCAACCGAAAUGAGGCACUAGAAGUUUGCUAGCUAAAUACUAAAAGAAAGAAUUGUGAAGAAGGAAGAGCAAAGGAUUGAAUUCCAAAGUUAAACAGAAGCCGAUAUUACAUAAUUUUAAAUCAUCAAGGAUCAAGAGAAUAUUG